AUUGAACGCUGGCGGCAGGCCUAACACAUGCAAGUCGAGCGAGCGGCGGACGGGUGAGUAAUGUCUGGGAAACUGCCUGAUGGAGGGGGAUAACUACUGGAAACGGUAGCUAAUACCGCAUACCAUCAGAUGUGCCCAGCUGGGAUUGGCUAGUAGGGGGGGUAAUGGCUCACCUAGGCGACGAUCCCUAGCUGGUCUGAGAGGAUGACCAGCCACACUGGAACUGAGACAGGGUCCAGGGGCCUACGGGAGGCAGCAGUGGGGAAUAUGGCGCAGUGGGCGCAAGCCUGAUGCAGCCAUGCCGCGUGUGUGGAGAAGGCCUUCGGGUUGUAAAGCACGUUCAGCGGGGAGGCGUUACCCGAAGAAGAAGCACCGGCUAACUCCGUGCCAGCCGCCGCGGUAAUAC
rnacentral:rRNA from 1 species